rnacentral:lncRNA from 1 species
CGCAGAGAGACCAGUUACAAGGCUACUACUUAAACCCAGAAUGACCUAAUUAGCAAAUUGGAUGACAACUAAGACAAAUAGCUUAACAUGAUUCACAGCCAUGAAUAAGAUGAAGGUACAAAAAGUAUGUGGAAGAAAAAUAAAUAACACUGUAUCAACCCUGUGGCAGCUUCCACAAAAAGAACGCAUCCUCACAGGAAGACUAGAACCCAUAGAAAUCACAUUUCAUGGCCUUCAGAAUUAAUUCGAUGCCACCACAGCACGGCUUGAUGAGCAGUGCCAUGUCCGUGCCCAGGAUCUGAACCUGCAAAACCCCAGGCCGCCGAAGCGGAGUGUGCAAACUUAACCACUCAGCCACGGGGCCAGCCCCUUGCCCUUUCCUUGACAUCAUUGCUUAUCAAAGCACGGUCCCCAGAGCAGCAGUCUCAUCAUCUCCUGGGAAAACUGCUGGAAACGCAGACUCUCAGGCCCCACCCCAGACUGACUGAAACAGAAGCUGGGAGUGGGCCUGCAAGCUGGGCAUCGGCCAGCUUCCAGAUCUCCGGAUACUACUUUCUUACCCCUCCUACUUGCACUCACCCCACCAAAAUUAAUAGAUCAGAGCUUCGACACUAGCUAUUGUUCUCAUUGUGCACGACGUGGAAAUGUCUCAAGCAAAGAUCUCUCACCUAUCAGUCAAAAUCCUCCCGUAAAGUUGGCUUUCAUUGGAGGAUCUCCUCCGUAACGUGUGGUUUCAAGCCUGCUGCCCACCAAUAUUAACAGUCCCAGUUCUGCCAGGCAGUGGCAGGACAGCACUUCCCCGCCCGCUCAAUUGGAUAUCGCCCCUUGCUUCAGCCAAUGAAAUGCAAGCGGAAGUCACGGGGCUCUCUCCAGGGCAGAAGUGUCAGGAGCCAGCGAACUCCAAGUCCACCGGGCUUCCUUCCUCUCGGCAGGUACCAGCAGCAUCUGACCUGGUGGCUCCUCCAUCAGCCUAGGUCCCCGAGCGACUGUUCUAAGCAGAAAUCCCCCCUGCCUACCCACAUUGAUGUGGAGCAUGAAAUAAACUGAAAUUGUAAAACUCCGACUUCGUGCAGAGCUCUCUGGAUGGC